rnacentral:rRNA from 1 species
GACGAACGCUGGCGGCGCGCCUAACACAUGCAAGUCGAACGAGCAAGAGAGAGCUUUGCUUUCUCAAGCGAGUGGCGAACGGGUGAGUAACGCGUGAGGAACCUGCCUCAAAGAGGGGGACAACAGUUGGAAACGACUGCUAAUACCGCAUAAGCCCACGACCCGGCAUCGGGUAGAGGGAAAAGGAGCAAUCCGCUUUGAGAUGGCCUCGCGUCCGAUUAGCUAGUUGGUGAGGUAACGGCCCACCAAGGCGACGAUCGGUAGCCGGACUGAGAGGUUGAACGGCCACAUUGGGACUGAGACACGGCCCAGACUCCUACGGGAGGCAGCAGUGGGGAAUAUUGCACAAUGGGGGAAACCCUUGAUGCAGCGACGCCGCGUGGAGGAAGAAAGGUCUUCGGAUUGUAAACUCCUGUUGUUGAGGAAGAAUAAUGACGGUACUCAACAAGGAAGUGACGGCUAACUACGUGCCAGCAGCCGCGGUAAAACGUAGGUCACAAGCGUUGUCCGGAAUUACUGGGUGUAAAGGGAGCGCAGGCGGGAAGACAAGUUGGAAGUGAAAUCCAUGGGCUCAACCCAUGAACUGCUUUCAAAACUGUUUUUCUUGAGUAGUGCAGAGGUAGGCGGAAUUCCCGGUGUAGCGGUGGAAUGCGUAGAUAUCGGGAGGAACACCAGUGGCGAAGGCGGCCUACUGGGCACCAACUGACGCUGAGGCUCGAAAGUGUGGGUAGCAAACAGGAUUAGAUACCCUGGUAGUCCACACUGUAAACGAUGAUUACUAGGUGUUGGAGGAUUGACCCCUUCAGUGCCGCAGUUAACACAAUAAGUAAUCCACCUGGGGAGUACGACCGCAAGGUUGAAACUCAAAGGAAUUGACGGGGGCCCGCACAAGCAGUGGAGUAUGUGGUUUAAUUCGACGCAACGCGAAGAACCUUACCAAGUCUUGACAUCCUGCGACGGUGCUGGAAACAGUACUUUCCUUCGGGACGCAGAGACAGGUGGUGCAUGGUUGUCGUCAGCUCGUGUCGUGAGAUGUUGGGUUAAGUCCCGCAACGAGCGCAACCCUUAUGGUCAGUUACUACGCAAGAGGACUCUGGCCAGACUGCCGUUGACAAAACGGAGGAAGGUGGGGAUGACGUCAAAUCAUCAUGCCCUUUAUGACUUGGGCUACACACGUACUACAAUGGCGUUAAACAAAGAGAAGCAAGACCGCGAGGUGGAGCAAAACUCAGAAACAACGUCCCAGUUCGGACUGCAGGCUGCAACUCGCCUGCACGAAGUCGGAAUUGCUAGUAAUCGCAGAUCAGCAUGCUGCGGUGAAUACGUUCCCGGGCCU